AUUUAUGCAAGUGUACAUAAACAAUUUCAUAAAUAACAACAAUAAAAAAAAAUAAAAAUAAAAAAUAAAACUGUCGUGAAAAUUUAAAACUGCGCACGCGUUGCAAUUUUUGAAGAGCACCAAAAAAAAAAAAAAAAAAAAAAAAUGCAACAAAAGUAAAUAACAAAUUUCAAUACAAAAAUAAAAACUAAGGAAAAAAAAAACUAUUAUCAAGAAGUAACAACCGAGGCGCAGCGUUGCGCGUGCGAAAGGGAUAGCAGCUGUUUGGCAGUUCGAUGUCGCCUUCAAGCGGCUAAGGACAAUGGUUCAAGUGCAAAGAGGAUGCCGCAACGUAAUGCAACAAACGAGUCAACAGGAGGAGGCGGGGAAUUCUAGGCGCUGGCGGCUCGUACAGGAACCAGGGAGACAGCGCAAGGACACACCGUUUACCGUGUGUGUGUGUGUGUGUGCUUGCAUACCACGACAACAGCUUGGCCGAAACACACACACACAAUGAAAAGAAACGGAGUAAGCUUUAUCUCAGCUCAGCACAAAGAUUAAACAAGUUCCUUUUCUUUCAGCUUUGACAAUGUGAAGAUGUCGAAGAAGAAGAAGAGCUGGAAAAACUACUACCUACUGGAAUUUCACAACAAUUCGCAAUGCUGCUCGUGCAUCAAUCAAAGAACUUAGUAAAUCCCAUGAGAAAUGGUGCAUACUUACAUAUGGACCAUUAACAGAAACCCGUAAAUCCGAACUUGUGCUGUUUUAUAUCUGUUACAAGACCGGCAUUAUGGGAGUCUGUCAAUGCAAACAACUUGGUUUUUGGCAACAAAGCAAAGCAACAUUGAACAAAUAGAAACUAUAAAUGAUACUAUAAAUCAAUACAACAA